rnacentral:rRNA from 1 species
UACGUAGGUGGCAAGCGAUACUCGGAAUCACUAGGCGUAAAGCGCAGGUAGGCGGUUUGGUAAGUCUUUUGUGAAAGCUCCCGGCUUAACUGGGAGAGGUCAAGGGAAACUACCGGACUAGAGUGUGGUAGGGGAUACUGGAAUUCCUGGUGUAGCGGUGAAAUGCGUAGAUAUCAGGAGGAAUACCUAUGGCGAAAGCAGGUAUCUGGGCCAUCACUGACGCUGAGCUGCGAAAGCUAGGGGAGCAAAUGGG